rnacentral:lncRNA from 1 species
AUUUUAGAAUCGUAAUCACGUCACGCAAACGCGUCCACAAUCACGAAAAUAUAUUAAACGCUUAAAGCAAACUACGAGGUUUAUAAAUAUUAAAGGACCAAGUAUGCUCCUAGCUAUCAAAUUCUCGAGAGUAUGAAUAAGAGAGCAACCAAAUUAUCUAUGUCCAAUUUCCUUUACAUUUCAAAGCUAACUCCCACAAAUCCGGUAUUGUGAAGCAUUUAACUAUGAAGCUUUAAACAGUUACAUCUUAGUAAAGUGAUGAACAUGAAAUCAACAACUCGAUUUUAACAUCAAAACUCAUCCAGAACAAUUUUCUUCUAAACAACGUGCAAAUAUAACCAUUAACAGAGCUCUCUUGAUUAGUCAAGAAAAGACUAAGAAAUGCACCAGCAGGAGUUCCUUCCAACAAACUUUAAGUGUUUUCAACUAUAUUUACAAGACAUUGUGGUUCAAUAGCAUGUCAGAAGGAAUUGAAGUUUACUUGCAGCAAAGAACUUGUUGAAAACCUUGACUACAUUAUUUCUUGCUAGUGUCCAUUGACAUAAAUGUAAGUAUCUAAACAUAAUUGGAAGUGAGUUUGUUAGCAGCUCAAGUGAUGUAUUCCUCGUGAGUUAGUACUAUCUUCAUUGACAUAAAUUUAAGUAUCUAAACACUACUGGAAGUGAGUUUAUUAGUAGCUUAAGUAAGUGAUUUGUUCCUCGUGAGUUAGUACUAUAUUUUUGUUUUGUUUAUCGUGCACUAGUAAAUAAAGACAUGUAGGCAACCGGAGUGUACAUUUUUAAGAACAAAAGCCUUCCAGCAGGUGUUAAAAAAAACAUUAACAGAGCAAAUAUUAUUAAGACAACCAAAAACGGAACAAUGAUACGUAGUAGCUCGUAAGAUCAACGAACCGAGCAAUGGAUAAAUUACAAAACAACAAAGGUGCGAGGUUUAGCAAAUAAGACAUAGAAAGAACAGAUCGGAAGAUCGUAAGAUCAACGAACCGAGCAAUGGAUAAAUUACAAAACAACAAAGGUGCGAGGUUUAGCAAAUAAGACAUAGAAAGAACUGGAAAGUAAACUUCAAACAGAUCUGCAAUUAACUGUGCAGCAACGUCGAAACAGGAACAUUAGAGAAAGCUUGCUGCUUAAUUAACUUAGGAAUCGAGCCUAAACUAACUUGUAAAACAAUACUAGUAUCUAAAUGUCCUAUGUCAACAAAUCAACACCCAUCAGUAGCUCGUGACAUUCAACUCAUACAAAACAGCAGCACAACAAUUACAACCACAGUACAUCGGAUCCAAAAUGAAAUAUAGGAGAUUAGAAAUAACCUGAAAUUAGCUUUCCGAUUAAUUGAAAUGCAGCAGUUAUACGGAUUGAAACGAAGCGACGACUACAGUCAGAAGUCGAUACAGCUUUCAAAUGAAGUCAGUCAAGUCGAUCCGUAAAACCAACGGAUAGCACCUCGACAAAAACCGCGAUCCAAACUUCGGAACUCGCCGGAAACGCAAUAGAAUUCAACAACGGACCUCGAACACGACCGGCGGCAACCUCGAACAACACUUCGAUUUCACGAACUAGGACUGGCCUUGAACUCAAACACGUCCAUUUUUGGGACGAAAAUCAUUGAACCAAAAGGUUCUCUGAUUUUCAGAGAUUCCACGAACCCUAGGCCAUUUUUACUUCUGUCCCGUUUCUAUUUUGUACGUGACUAUGUGAAGGUUUCUCCGAUUUUCAGAGAUUCCACGAACCCUAGGCCAUUUUUACUUCUGUCCCGUUUCUAUUUUGUACGCGACUGUGUGUGUGCACGCUGUUGGUUUGGAGAAGAUGAUGCGGAGGGGGUGUCUGCGUGUGUUCACGACGGGAGAUGAAGAAGAUGGAGGUUUCCGGUGCCUCUCUACCAGGCGUGAAUUGUUCUGUGUAUAUGCGUGUGUUUGUUAAGAGGAAGCCAAGGCUGCGCUUCAGGCGUGUAUCUCUGUUGUGUUUUCCGCCUCUUCUGUAUUGUGCGGUAUAGUUUUUGGUACAUAUACAUUCCAUAUAGUUUU